UUUACAGAAAGGAGAAACUGCGGCUGGUGACAUUUUCCAAGAUUCACUGUGACAGGCUCUCUCAUCCACAGGCUAUUCUUGAAAUGUGACUCUGGCAUUCCUCCCUCUGAGAGGCGGGGUCUGCGUUCCUUCCCCUUGAACCUGGGCAGGCCUGCGGCAGAAGAGGUGCUAGAUGGCCCCCGAGGCUCUUAGGUCGGACAGAGCAGUUUCUGCCCGGCCCUCCUGGAGUGCUGGCUCUCAGAAGCUGGUCGCCACGCUCUGUGUGCAGGCCAAAAAGCCCCAGAGAGGCCACAUGUAGGUGUCCCAGCCAACAGUCCCAGCGGAGGUCCCAGCCAACAGCCAGAUGGAAGGAAACCUUGAAGGUGACUUCAUCCUCGGCUGGCAUACGAUUGCAGCUGUACAGAGUCCUGGAGUGAGAACGGGCUUGCCUGGCUUGCUGAGCUCAGUUCACUCCAGGACCAUGACAGAUGAUAAUAAGCUGCUGUGGGGCGCCUGGGUGGCUCAGUCGGUUGAGCGUCCGACUUCGGCUCAGGUCUCGAUCUCGUGGUCCGUGAGUUUGAGCCCUGUGUCGUGCUCUGUGCUGACAGCUCAGAGCCUGGAGCCUGUUUCAGAUUCUGUGUCUCCCUCUCUCUCUGACCCUCCCCUGUUCAUGCUCUGUCUCUCCCUGUCUCAAAAAUAAACAUUAAAACAAAAAUUUAAAUAAAUAAAUAAAUAAAUAAAUAGCUGCUGUUUCAGGCCAUUAAAUUUGGGUGAUCCUAGCAGCAAGGUUUAGGUCCCGGAAGUGGGCGUGGUUGUAACAAAACCUAAAACUCGUGGCAUUGGCUUUCGCACUGAAACUUGGGCGGAACCCAGUGAUGCCUUGAGGACACUGUUAGUGAGCGUAGAGGGCGCCGAAGAAGCUUUAAAGGAACGUGUGUAGAAGUGACUGGAAGCUGGAGGAAAGAGGACCCUUGUCAUGGGGUGGGGGAAGUUUUGGCCAUGCUGUCAUCUGUGUUAGAGGAAGAGUAAGUGUGGAGGACAGGAGACGCACCCAGUGAACUCCAUGAUCAAAGUCAAGAGAUUCCAACGCAAAACAGUGAAAGGGUCACUUGGCUUCUUCUCGCCGCCCACGGAAGCCAUUUAGAUCUUUAGAAAACUUUCUAAAUGUGAGGCCAAGAAUGUGACUACAGGGGUGCCUGGUGGCUCAGCUGGCGUAGCGUCUGACUCUUGAUUUCGGCUCAGGUCAUGAUCUCGUGGUGCAUGGGAUCGAGCCCCACGUUGGACUCUGUGCUGCUGGUAAGGAGCCUGCUUGGGCUUCUCUCUCUCCCUCUCUCUUUCUGCCCCUCUCCUGCUUGUGCUUUCUUUCUUUCUUCCUUUCUCUCUCUCUCUC